rnacentral:lncRNA from 1 species
GAUUAGAUUAAAUAAUUAAUGUAGUUUAGUAAUUAACUAAUUAAUUAGUUUAAGAGAUGGUGGAGAAGGAGAUGCAGUAGAAUCUGGGGAGGAUUUUUUGAAUGUAAAUAUUAAAAGGUAAAUUUCAAAUACCAUUUCUGUGAUUUCGCACUUUAUCAUUUUAGUAUUUUAUAAUUUAAAAUGUAUCAAUUUAGUAUUCUGUAAUUUUAUUUUAUUUCUUUUCGUCAACUUCUACUCUAUCUAUAGUUUAUUGAAUAUUUCUUUUAGUACCCUUUAAUUUUAAUUCUGUCACUGAUUUAAUAAAAAAAAAAUUAAUAUAGAGAAUAAUAAAAAGAGAAAAAUAAAAUAAUAGGGCACGAACAUGAUACACUUUAAACNUGAAAGCUUUCCAAAGAAGAAAGAAGUAAAGAUACUGGCUUGACUUUUUAGCUUUCACUGCGGAUAGACUUUUUUUUUUUUUUUUGGAUUGUUUGUUUGUGUUCACAACUAUAAAUGGUGGGGGUAGAGGAUGCGGACUGAGUUAUUACGGUGGGACCCACGGCCCCGGAGCUCCACCGGAUCAGCCCAAGUAAUAAUAGAGUCCCCCCCUCGCUCAUCCCAUCACCUCUCUCUCUCUCUCAUCAACUCUAAUAUACUUUUUAAAUUUUAGGUAAAAUUUACUCAAGUUCUUAAACUUUUAUUAAGUUUAAUAACUAAUAUUUCACUGAUCGUUCCUAGCACAAGUAACAAAAAAUUUGAUAAUUGAUACUCGAGAUUCCAGAUAAUUCGAAACUCAAUUGCUUCACAUUUUCAGCUAAAUUUACUUUUAAAAAUAAAAUUAAAAAAGUAGGUAGCAUGCUAUCCUUCUCUCUAAAAAAAAACGUUCACAUUCCAAAUAUUUAGUUGUGAUUUAUUUUAUUCUUUCGGGAGAAAAAAUACUAUGUUUCAGUAAGAAUGAAUUUAUUGGUUCGUAAAUUUGAAUAAAAAUAUCGAUAUAUCAGUAAUAUUCUUUCAUCCAAAAUUGCUCUGAGAGCUCGAAAACUAAAGUGAAAUCUAUGAUAUUUUUUUUGUGAUUAUUUUCAUGGAAAAGCUCUAAUUGUCCUUCAUCCAUCUCUCCUUUUCCCCUCUCUUUCUCUCUCUUUCUCUCACUUAACUUNAAAGUUAAAAAAACCCUGAUUAGAUUAAAUAAUUAAUGUAGUUUAGUAAUUAACUAAUUAAUUAGUUUAAGAGAUGGUGGAGAAGGAGAUGCAGUAGAAUCUGGGGAGGAUUUUUUGAAUGUAAAUAUUAAAAGGUAAAUUUCAAAUACCAUUUCUGUGAUUUCGCACUUUAUCAUUUUAGUAUUUUAUAAUUUAAAAUGUAUCAAUUUAGUAUUCUGUAAUUUUAUUUUAUUUCUUUUCGUCAACUUCUACUCUAUCUAUAGUUUAUUGAAUAUUUCUUUUAGUACCCUUUAAUUUUAAUUCUGUCACUGAUUUAAUAAAAAAAAAAUUAAUAUAGAGAAUAAUAAAAAGAGAAAAAUAAAAUAAUAGGGCACGAACAUGAUACACUUUAAACCAUAUGUUACUAAAGUAAGAAAGUAUAAAACUAUAAGGGUAAUAUUUAAAGUUUUUUCAAUAUUAAUUAAGGAUAUCGUUUUCUAAUAAU